rnacentral:rRNA from 1 species
GAUGAACGCUGGCGGCGUGCCUAAUACAUGCAAGUCGAGCGAACAGAUGAGGAGCUUGCUCCUCUGACGUUAGCGGCGGACGGGUGAGUAACACGUGGAUAACCUACCUAUAAGACUGGGAUAACUUCGGGAAACCGGAGCUAAUACCGGAUAAUAUAUUGAACCGCAUGGUUCAAUAGUGAAAGACGGUUUUGCUGUCACUUAUAGAUGGAUCCGCGCCGCAUUAGCUAGUUGGUAAGGUAACGGCUUACCAAGGCAACGAUGCGUAGCCGACCUGAGAGGGUGAUCGGCCACACUGGAACUGAGACACGGUCCAGACUCCUACGGGAGGCAGCAGUAGGGAAUCUUCCGCAAUGGGCGAAAGCUUGACGGAGCAACGCCGCGUGAGUGAUGAAGGUCUUCGGAUCGUAAAACGCUGUUAUUAGGGAAGAACAAAUGUGUAAGUAACUAUGCACGUCUUGACGGUACCUAAUCAGAAAGCCACGGCUAACUACGUG